rnacentral:rRNA from 1 species
GGGUUGUGAGGUUAAGCGACUAAGCGUACACGGUGGAUGCCCUGGCAGUCAGAGGCGAUGAAGGACGUGCUAAUCUGCGAAAAGCGUCGGUAAGGUGAUAUGAACCGUUAUAACCGGCGAUGUCCGAAUGGGGAAACCCAGUGCAAUUCGUUGCACUAUCGUUAACUGAAUACAUAGGUUAACGAGGCGAACCGGGGGAACUGAAACAUCUAAGUCCCCCGAGGAAAAGAAAUCAACCGAGAUUCCCCCAGUAGCGGCGAGCGAACGGGGAGCAGCCCAGAGUCUGAAUCAGCUUGUGUGUUAGUGGAACGGUCUGGAAAGUCCGACGGUACAGGGUGAUAGUCCCGUACACCAAAAUGCACAGGCUGUGAACUCGAAGAGUAGGGCGGGACACGUGGUAUCCUGUCUGAAUAUGGGGGGACCAUCCUCCAAGGCUAAAUACUCCUG